rnacentral:rRNA from 1 species
UACAGAGGGUGCGAGCGUUAAUCGGAAUUACUGGGCGUAAAGCGUGCGUAGACGGUAGCGUAAGUCAGAUGUGAAAGCCCCGGGCUCAACCUGGGAACUGCAUUUGAGACUGCUCUGCUCGGGUGCGGAAGAGGGAAGCGGAAUUUCCGGUGUAGCGGUGAAAUGCGUAGAGAUCGGGAGGAACACCAGUGGCGAAGGCGGCUACCUGGACCAGCACUGACACUGAGGCACGAAAGCGUGGGGAGCGAACAGG